rnacentral:rRNA from 1 species
CAGUAGCCGCGGUAAUACAGAGGGUGCAAGCGUUAAUCGGAAUUACUGGGCGUAAAGCGCGCGUAGGUGGUUUGUUAAGUUGGAUGUGAAAUCCCCGGGCUCAACCUGGGAACUGCAUUCAAAACUGACUGACUAGAGUAUGGUAGAGGGUGGUGGAAUUUCCUGUGUAGCGGUGAAAUGCGUAGAUAUAGGAAGGAACACCAGUGGCGAAGGUGACCACCUGGACUAAUACUGACACUGUGGUGCGAAAGCGUGGGGAGCAAACAGGAUUAGAUACCCCCGUAGUCCCUGUCUCUUAUAC